CCUACGGGAGGCAGCAGUGAGGAAUAUUGGUCAAUGGACGAGAGUCUGAACCAGCCAAGUAGCGUGAAGGAUGACUGCCCUAUGGGUUGUAAACUUCUUUUAUAUGGGAAUAAAAUGUUCCACGUGUGGGAUUUUGUAUGUACCAUAUGAAUAAGGAUCGGCUAACUCCGUGCCAGCAGCCGCGGUAAUACGGAGGAUCCGAGCGUUAUCCGGAUUUAUUGGGUUUAAAGGGAGCGUAGGUGGAGUGUUAAGUCAGUUGUGAAAGUUUGCGGCUCAACCGUAAAAUUGCAGUUGAAACUGGCAGUCUUGAGUACAGUAGAGGUGGGCGGAAUGCGUGGUGUAGCGGUGAAAUGCUUAGAUAUCACGAAGAACUCCGAUUGCGAAGGCAGUUCACUGGACUGCAACUGACACUGAGGCUCGAAAGUGUGGGUAUCAAACAGGAUUAGAUACCCCUGUAGUC
rnacentral:rRNA from 1 species